GACGAACGCUGGCGGCGUGCCUAAUACAUGCAAGUCGAGCGAAGUUUUUCUGGUGCUUGCACUAGAAAAACUUAGCGGCGAACGGGUGAGUAACACGUAAAGAACCUGCCUCAUAGACUGGGACAACUAUUGGAAACGGUAGCUAAUACCGGAUAACAGUAUUUCUCGCAUGAGAGAUAUUUAAAAGUUGGUUAUGCUAACACUAUGAGAUGGCUUUGCGGUGCAUUAGCUAGUUGGUGGGGUAAAGGCCCACCAAGGCGACGAUGCAUAGCCGACCUGAGAGGGUGAUCGGCCACACUGGGACUGAGACACGGCCCAGACUCCUACGGGAGGCAGCAGUAGGGAAUCUUCCGCAAUGGGCGAAAGCCUGACGGAGCAACGCCGCGUGAGUGAAGAAGGAUUUCGGUUCGUAAAGCUCUGUUGUUAGGGAAGAAUGGAUAUGUAGUAGCUAUACAUGUAAGAGACGGUACCUAACCAGAAAGCCACGGCUAACUACGUG
rnacentral:rRNA from 1 species